UUGUAUUAACAGAUGAAUAAAGAAUGAAAGAAUAUUAUACAUUUCAUGGGAGAGGGAUACAUUUGUUAUGAAUGGGGGUUGUCAUGGCAAUCAAACAACAUAAAUAUAUGCCUCAUACAUCAUACAAGUAGGCAACAGUCAAUCAAACAAUAAGAUAUUUAAACAAGUAUGUGAUCAAAUCAAAUAAUCAAAGAAAUGAAAUGAAUGAGCAUUAAACAACGCAUGAGUGUAAGUGUAAGGGAACCGGCUCAUUGUAAGAAAGCCCAAGAGUAAGCUAUGUGAGGUUGAUGGCGAUGCUUAAAAAGCAAUCGACUUACAAGGGUGUAAAAAUGGGGCUCGAUAUUAAAUCGAGAAAGUAUGAUUUUUAUAGUUUGAAAAAAUGGUUUUUUGAACUAAAUUCAAAUACAAUAACUACGCAUUAUUAACACAUGAAAUUAUAAUAAGCAUAAAAAGAGAUAUUAACAAAAUACUAAAAGAAAUAAAAAAUGCUAAAGGAAAAUAAAAUCAAAUAAAAAGCAAAAAGUGUCACACAUGAGUAUUGAACCCACCCCACUCAAGAACAUGCACACUACCCUUCUCCACCAGACCACUCAGGGUUAUAUGCUAUUGAAGUACUACCUUAAAUAUAUAAACCGGAAUGAAAAAAUAAAUAAAAAAAAAGAUUAUGAACAAAACUAACAUAUAAAACCUUUUUAUGUUUUUGUUUAUUAUUAUCUUUUAUCUCUGUUAAACAAAACAAAUUUGAUUAAAAAAAUUAAAUUAAAAAAAGAAAUGAAAACAAAGAAAUGAAAACAAAAGAAAACAGAGGCUCGUCUUCUUCUCUCCCACCUCACAAACUCAACCUUCCCCCAACAAUGGCAAUCUCACGAACUCGCACCUCUCGUCCCUCUUAUGACAUCAACAAAACCCUCUCA
rnacentral:lncRNA from 1 species